GAGUGUUACAGGUCUUUUAGAAUGUGUUUAGUAGGUCUUCUGGCUCUUGCUGGAAGACCCUU
ensembl:snRNA U7 U7 small nuclear RNA